CGGAGGCNGCUACUGUGCCAGCUGGUGGAUCGCUCGGCUUGAGAGCUGAAGAAGGACGUGCCAAGCUGCGAUAAGCCUGAGGGAGCCGCACGGAGGCGAAGAACUCAGGAUCUCCGAAUGGGAAUCCCCACCGCAAUUGCUUCGCGCAAUGGGGAACGCCGGGAAUUGAAACAUCUCAGUACCGGCAGGAAAAGAAAGCAAACGCGAUGUCGUUAGUAAGGGCGACUGAACGCGAUACAGUCCAAACCGAAGCCUUCGGGCAAUGUGGUGU
rnacentral:ncRNA from 1 species